GACAGAAAGAUUAGCAUGGCCCCUGUGCAAGGAUGACACACAAAUUCGAGAAGCAUUCCAUAUUUUU
rnacentral:snRNA from 14 species